GGAAUAUAAGAACCCGUCUCUUAAUUUUUAACUAAAAAAGUUAAGAACCGGCUCUUAAAACUCUUAUUUAAGAACCGGUUCUUAGUUUUUUUAGUUAAAAGUUAAGAGAUAUUCC
rnacentral:pre_miRNA from 1 species